rnacentral:lncRNA from 1 species
CCCACCAAAAAGAGAAAAUCUUUCCCUCCAAUUUUUUUGAUACCUAAAAUAAUAGAACGAAAAACCUAAUUCACUCCCCAGUUGAACGAAAAAUAACAAAACAUCGAAUCCUAAAUCGAUGUUGCGUCAACGGCGUGUCAAAGGCAGUGCGACGCGUCAACGACAACCCUAUCUUUUUUCCAGGUAAAUUCUCUUCUCUUCGAUUUACAAUUGAUUUAUAGUAGAAUCGAUUUCUAUCUUGAAUCGACUUCGCUGCCGAAAAAACCUAACUCGCUGCUGCGCCAACCGCAAUGUGAUUUACAGUAUGUCACCGGCAGUACGAGUGCGUCAACGACAACCCAUCUUUUUCUAGGUAAAUUUCCUUCUCUUCGAUUUACAAUAGAAUCGAUUUACAGUAAUUUAACUUCUCUUCUUCCAAUCGAUUUAUAGUAGAUUUUGUAUUGAUGUUGGUGGAUUUUGAUUUACAGUAAAUCAGUUCCCAACUCGUUGUUGCGUCAAUUGCCUGCCGUAGUGCCCGUCCAUCUUCUUCCCUUGUUAAUUUCUCUUUUUUUCCCAGUUAAAUCAAUCACUUGAAAUCGAUUUACAAUAGAUUUUGGAUAGAUUUUUGUCCAUCUAUUUACAACAGAUUCUAUGUACAUUAAUCUAGUAAAAGUCAUGUUAUUAUUUGGAUGUAGAAAAUUCGAAUUUAGGAAGUUUGAUUUGGCCGCGCUUAUAUCUUAUAUCUAAAUUUCUCUUAUGUCAUAUACCAAUAUUUGGGAAAGAAACUCAUAUAGUUGCCGAGGUUAAUGUUCUUGUACAUGGAGUUCGUGUUCUGUAUGAAACGAUAUAUGUAGCAUCGACAAAGAUUUUCAGAUCCUAUUAUAAGCAUGGACGCCCUUUGUUACUUUAAGAAUGACCUUCAAAUGGUGUAAAACAGUCCCUCAGCUAUUCAUAUAUUAGAUUAAACUUUUUUAAGUGCUUAGAUAAAGAAUAUAAAUAUAUAGAUUACUGCUGAGAUAUCUUUACUGGUCACUUUCAUCCUUUAUUGUUCAUUUAGCCACCUUGCUUUUCGCCGGAAAUUUUACCG